GGACGACAUCGAAAGUUCAAUGAAAAACUAAAAAAAAAAACUCAAUCCACAUAUUUUUUUUUAAUUGACUCCCCCUCCCCCCCACAAGUUGCUCAUCCUGCCUUUUCUUCCACUCAAUGGACUCGAUGAAUUAGCGUUGUACUUGAAAAAAUGAAACCGUACUUUUCUACAAACACUUUUCAUAUUCUUUGACAAGUUUUAGAUAUUCGAAACAGGAUAGUGAUUUUUUUUCUGAUUCCGUUUACUUGAGAAAAAAAUUCCGAAAUUGUAAGUAAAUUCAUAAUAUGUAACCAACCAUGCUUUGUUAAAAAAAAAACGCAGAUGGCAAACCAUGGCACAGGGG
rnacentral:lncRNA from 1 species